UACAGAGGGGGCAAGCGUUGUCCGGACUGACUGGGCGUAAAGCGCACGCAGGCGGUUUUGGGCGUCGGUGCUGAAAGUCCACUGCUUAACAGUGGAACGCGUGCCGAUACGCCAUAACUGGAGCAAUGCAGAGGCCAGUGGAAUUGCCGGUGUAGUGGUGAAAUGCGCAGAUAUCAGGAGGAACACCGGUGGCGAAGGCGGGUCUCUGGGCAACAACUGACGCUGAGGAGCGAAAGCGUGGGGAGCGAACAGG
rnacentral:rRNA from 1 species